GACGAACGCUGGCGGCGUGCUUAACACAUGCAAGUCGAACGGUGAAGCGCCUUCCUUUUUGGUGGGUGUGGAUGAGUGGCGAACGGGUGAGUAACACGUGAGUAACCUGCCCCCUUCUUCUGGAUAACCGCAUGAAAGUGUGGCUAAUACGGGAUAUUCUGGGUCUGUCGCAUGAUGGGUCUGGGAAAGAUAUUGUUUCGGUGGGGGAUGGGCUCGCGGCCUAUCAGCUUGUUGGUGGGGUGAUGGCCUACCAAGGCGGUGACGGGUAGCCGGCCUGGGAGGGUGGACGGUCACACGGGGACUGAGACACGGCCCAGACUCCUACGGGAGGCAGCAGUGGGGAAUAUUGCACAAUGGGCGCAAGCCUGAUGCAGCGACGCCGCGGGAGGGAUGGAGGCCUUCGGGUUGUGAACCUCUUUCGCCAGUGAAGCAGGCCUGCCUCGUUUGUGGGUGGGUUGACGGUAGCUGGAUAAGAAGCGCCGGCUAACUACGUG
rnacentral:rRNA from 1 species